CCGUGCAGCUGGGGAGUUAGCGGUGCCCUGUACCUGCAAUCCGCUAUAGCAGGAGUGAUAUCAAUCCGAGGGUCGAAGAAUGUGGGGCCGCCCUUAAAAAGUGACGAUGACGAUCUGGUCUUACGCAAUGAGAAUCUGUGAACCGUGUCAGAUCCUGACGGAAGCAGCACUAAGCAGAAUAUCUUGUGUGCCGUAAGGGUGCCGGAUUUGAGUAAACUAGUAAGGUAACGCCUGUGUUUGAGAUUCGAUGUGCGAUGCACGG
rnacentral:SRP_RNA from 1 species